rnacentral:pre_miRNA from 1 species
CAAAGUGCUGACAUUGCAGGUAGUGACGACUUAUCUUUCUACUGCAGUGCAAGCACUUGUAGC